rnacentral:rRNA from 1 species
UCGCUGACUCAAAGUCGUGCACGCCCGAGUGUGUCCUCUCACAUAAUAAUCCAUCUCACCCUUUGUGCAUCGCCGCGUGAGCACCCUUUGGGAUCAUCUCGGAGGGGGCUCGCGUUUUCACACAAACCCCCCUUUUAAAAGUGUAGAAUGACCUCAUUUAUGCGCUAACACGCAAUCAAUACAACUUUCAACAACGGAUCUCUUGGCUCUCGCAUCGAUGAAGAACGCAGCGAAAUGCGAUACGUAAUGUGAAUUGCAGAAUUCAGUGAAUCAUCGAAUCUUUGAACGCACCUUGCGCCCCUUGGUAUUCCGAGGGGCACACCCGUUUGAGUGUCGUGAAAACCUCAACCUCCUCGGUUUCUUCUGGAGACCAAAGGCAGGCUUGGACUUUGGAGGCCCUUGCUGGAACCUCUCUCUUUUGAAGGCCAGCUCCUCUUAAACGAAUUAGCAGGGUCCUCUUUGCCGAUCCUCGACGUGUGAUAAGAUGUUUCCAUGUCUUGGUUUCUGGCUCUGUCACUUUUGGGACCCGCUUCUAACCGUCUUGACCUUGCAUCGAGACAAUGUUCGAGCAUGUCUCCCUUCUCGGGAAGCUCCCUCGACCCCACGAACCC